GAGCGUUCUGUAAGCCUGUGAAGGUGUGCUGUGAGGCAUGCUGGAGGUAUCAGAAGUGCGAAUGCUGACAUAAGUAACGAUAAAGCGGGUGAAAAGCCCGCUCGCCGGAAGACCAAGGGUUCCUGUCCAACGUUAAUCGGGGCAGGGUGAGUCGACCCCUAAGGCGAGGCCGAAAGGCGUAGUCGAUGGGAAACAGGUUAAUAUUCCUGUACUUGGUGUUACUGCGAAGGGGGGACGGAGAAGGCUAUGUUGGCCGGGCGACGGUUGUCCCGGUUUAAGCGUGUAGGCUGGUUUUCCAGGCAAAUCCGGAAAAUCAAGGCUGAGGCGUGAUGACGAGGCACUACGGUGCUGAAGCAACAAAUGCCCUGCUUCCAGGAAAAGCCUCUAAGCAUCAGGUAACAUCAAAUCGUACCCCAAACCGACACAGGUGGUCAGGUAGAGAAUACCAAGGCGCUUGAGAGAACUCGGGUGAAGGAACUAGGCAAAAUGGUGCCGUAACUUCGGGAGAAGGCACGCUGAUAUGUAGGUGAAGUCCCUCGCGGAUGGAGCUGAAAUCAGUCGAAGAUACCAGCUGGCUGCAACUGUUUAUUAAAAACACAGCACUGUGCAAACACGAAAGUGGACGUAUACGGUGUGACGCCUGCCCGGUGCCGGAAGGUUAAUUGAUGGGGUCAGCGCAAGCGAAGCUCUUGAUCGAAGCCCCGGUAAACGGCGGCCGUAACUAUAACGGUCCUAAGGUAGCGAAAUUCCUUGUCGGGUAAGUUCCGACCUGCACGAAUGGCGUAAUGAUGGCCAGGCUGUCUCCACCCGAGACUCAGUGAAAUUGAACUCGCUGUGAAGAUGCAGUGUACCCGCGGCAAGACGGAAAGACCCCGUGAACCUUUACUAUAGCUUGACACUGAACAUUGAGCCUUGAUGUGUAGGAUAGGUGGGAGGCUUUGAAGUGUGGACGCCAGUCUGCAUGGAGCCGACCUUGAAAUACCACCCUUUAAUGUUUGAUGUUCUAACGUGGACCCGUGAUCCGGGUUGCGGACAGUGUCUGGUGGGUAGUUUGACUGGGGCGGUCUCCUCCUAAAGAGUAACGGAGGAGCACGAAGGUUGGCUAAUCCUGGUCGGACAUCAGGAGGUUAGUGCAAUGGCAUAAGCCAGCUUGACUGCGAGCGUGACGGCGCGAGCAGGUGCGAAAGCAGGUCAUAGUGAUCCGGUGGUUCUGAAUGGAAGGGCCAUCGCUCAACGGAUAAAAGGUACUCCGGGGAUAACAGGCUGAUACCGCCCAAGAGUUCAUAUCGACGGCGGUGUUUGGCACCUCGAUGUCGGCUCAUCACAUCCUGGGGCUGAAGUAGGUCCCAAGGGUAUGGCUGUUCGCCAUUUAAAGUGGUACGCGAGCUGGGUUUAGAACGUCGUGAGACAGUUCGGUCCCUAUCUGCCGUGGGCGCUGGAGAACUGAGGGGGGCUGCUCCUAGUACGAGAGGACCGGAGUGGACGCAUCACUGGUGUUCGGGUUGUCAUGCCAAUGGCACUGCCCGGUAGCUAAAUGCGGAAGAGAUAAGUGCUGAAAGCAUCUAAGCACGAAACUUGCCCCGAGAUGAGUUCUCCCUGACCCUUUAAGGGUCCUGAAGGAACGUUGAAGACGACGACGUUGAUAGGCCGGGUGUGUAAGCGCAGCGAUGCGUUGAGCUAACCGGUACUAAUGAACCGUGAGGCUUAACCU
rnacentral:rRNA from 1 species